rnacentral:rRNA from 1 species
GACGAACGCUGGCGGCGUGCUUAACACAUGCAAGUCGAACGGAAAGGCCCCCUUGUGGGGUACUCGAGUGGCGAACGGGUGAGUAACACGUGAGUAACCUACCCUCGACUUUGGGAUAACUUCAGGAAACUGGGGCUAAUACCGGAUAGGAGCUCCUGCUGCAUGGUGGGGGUUGGAAAGUUUCGGCGGUUGGGGAUGGACUCGCGGCUUAUCAGCUUGUUGGUGGGGUAGUGGCUCACCAAGGCUUUGACGGGUAGCCGGCCUGAGAGGGUGACCGGCCACAUUGGGACUGAGAUACGGCCCAGACUCCUACGGGAGGCAGCAGUGGGGAAUAUUGCACAAUGGGCGGAAGCCUGAUGCAGCAACGCCGCGUGCGGGAUGACGGCCUUCGGGUUGUAAACCGCUUUCGCCUGUGGCGAAGCGUGAGUGACGGUAAUGGGUAAAGAAGCACCGGCUAACUACGUG